GAUGAACGCUAGCGAUAGGCUUAACACAUGCAAGUCGAGGGGCAGCAUGGUCUUAGCUUGCUAAGACUGAUGGCGACCGGCGCACGGGUGCGUAACGCGUAUGCAACUUGCCUCACAGAGGGGGAUAACCCGUCGAAAGACGGACUAAUACCGCGUACACUUGGGAUAGGGCAUCCUGACCCAAGGAAAUGAAAUUCGCUGUGAGAUAGGCAUGCGUCCCAUUAGCUAGUUGGUGAGGUAACGGCUCACCAAGGCGACGAUGGGUAGGGGAACUGAGAGGUUGAACCCCCACACUGGUACUGAGACACGGACCAGACUCCUACGGGAGGCAGCAGUGAGGAAUAUUGGUCAAUGGGCGAGAGCCUGAACCAGCCAAGUCGCGUGAAGGAUGACUGUCUUAUGGAUUGUAAACUUCUUUUAUACGGGAAUAACAAGAGCCACGUGUGGCUCCCUGCAUGUACCGGAUGAAUAAGCAUCGGCUAACUCCGUG
rnacentral:rRNA from 1 species